rnacentral:rRNA from 1 species
CAGCCCUUGACAUGGCAGGACGGUUUCCAGAGAUGGAUUCCUUCACUUCGGUGACCUGCACACAGGUGCUGCAUGGCUGUCGUCAGCUCGUGUCGUGAGAUGUUGGGUUAAGUCCCGCAACGAGCGCAACCCUCGCCUUUAGUUGCCAUCAUUUAGUUGGGCACUCUAGAGGGACUGCCGGUGAUAAGCCGGAGGAAGGUGGGGAUGACGUCAAGUCUUCAUGGCCCUUACGGGCUGGGCUACACAUGUGCUACAAUGGCGGUGACAGAGGGCAGCUAGUCCGCGAGGAUAUGCUAAUCCCUAAAAGCCGUCUCAGUUCGGAUUGCACUCUGCAACUCGAGUGCAUGAAGUUGGAAUUGCUAGUAAUCGCAGAUCAGCACGCUGCGGUGAAUACGUUCCC